CAGCACCGUCAAGUGGAUUGAGCGGAAGACGGGGCAUCGGGGGUCUGCAUUUUGAGAUACAAAUUUUAUACCCGAGGGACCUGUUACAUCCCUGUGCAUGUGGGACUCCCAGUGGAGAUUAGACCUUCUGCAAGGACUGCAGAACCGUGCAAUACAGAAGAGAAAACUGGUGCUUUCCACUGUUCCAAGCCCUUCUAUGGAUGAAAUGGCACCGCCAGACUAACACAUACUGUAGCAUCUGUCAGAUAGACACACAGAAGCUUCAUCAACAAUCAAGGCUAACAUCAGCCUCCUCUAACCAGCCGGCUAGGGAAAUGAAUGGAAAGGCUCCUGCCCCAGUACUGACCUAGUGCUCCAGGAUGAUGCAGGGGGCUGCUGGAGGUGCCAUCGUUCUGACCCCUACAUCAAACCAAGGUCCUGUCUCCCAAGAUC